GAUGAACGCUAGCGACAGGCCUAACACAUGCAAGUCGAGGGGCAGCACGGUGUAGCAAUACACGGGUGGCGACCGGCGCACGGGUGAGUAACGCGUAUGCAACCUGCCUACUACAAGGGGAUAACCCGUUGAAAGACGGACUAAUACCCUAUAACACAGGGAAUCCGCAUGGAUAUAUUUGUUAAAGAUUUAUCGGUAGUAGAUGGGCAUGCGUUCCAUUAGCUUGUUGGUGAGGUAACGGCUCACCAAGGCAACGAUGGAUAAGGGAACUGAGAGGUUGAUCCCCCACACUGGAACUGAGACACGGUCCAGACUCCUACGGGAGGCAGCAGUGAGGAAUAUUGGUCAAUGGACGAGAGUCUGAACCAGCCAAGUCGCGUGAAGGAAGACGGCCCUACGGGUUGUAAACUUCUUUUGUAAGGGAAUAAAUAGUCUUACGCGCUAAGACGUUGCAGGUACCUUACGAAUAAGGAUCGGCUAACUCCGUGCCAGCAGCCGCGGUAAUCACGAG
rnacentral:rRNA from 1 species